AACGCACAUUGCGCCCUUUGGCAUUCCGAAGGGCAUGCCUGUUCGAGCGUCAUUACACCACUCAAGCCUGGCUUGGUAUUGGGCGACGGGUAACCAGUCCCCCGCCUCAAUUUCGACCGGCUGGACAAUCUCUAUCUCAGCGUUGUGGAAACUAAUUCGCUGGCGAGACGGGUGGUUCAUGCCGUUAAAGUCACUAUCUAAGGUUGACCUCGGAUCAGGUAGGAAUACCCGCUGAACUUAA
rnacentral:misc_RNA from 2 species